rnacentral:lncRNA from 1 species
AAUCCUCAUGCAAACAAUCCCAUCAACAUUGAAUAUAAACAAAGGUCUUAGCCUCAAACUCUCACAAGAGUGUCACACAUAAUCUCAAUAUUAUAAAACAAUCUAAAUUUAAAUAGGAGUUGUUCUCUACUAUUUAUAGUCUAAUCUAAUUAUACAAAAAUGUACUUAACGAAAUAAGGACUUCUUAAUCACGCGACUCGUAUUUGAAGAACAACUUCUUUGAGCAUAUAGACAGUUUCUUCAUACUUUUACUAUCGAUCUUCUAAUUGGAGCCUUGUACUUUCACUUUAGCAUGCUCUUGAUUCUCAAGCCUGCCUUCCAAAUCCCUAACACAGUGACUUGAUGUGAUGCUCUUGAACUCCUUAGCUUGCCUUGACCUGUAUGCAUCAAAUGACGCAUUGGAUAGUUAGUCCAUUAAUAAGGUUUGAACUCGGGAAGUCACCAGAGUGGAGAAGCUUAAGAUCAACUUAAAUGCCAAUACACCUAAUCAACUUUUGUUUCAAUGGGUGCAUUUAUAUGUUUUAUACCUAUUUUCGUAUAUUUUUUUAUGUAAUUAUACCUAUUCCACGUCGAGUUUACUGGGUACCGGAGCACCCCAAAAUUAUAUGUAGGUCUGCCCCUGCCAGCAAAACACUUCAUUCCAGAAACUGUCAAGGUACUUUUAUCAAAUAGGAAAUGUGAAUUUUUAAUUUAAUUUUAAUUUUUUGUUUCAUGGAUGCAAGAUAGCUAAAUCCUCAGAGAAGAUUCAUACCCUACAUAAACAGGCCAUUUAUGUUACAUGAGCUGAAAAAUUAGUGCCCUUUAAGAUGUUUUCGACUGAUGUCAAGUAAAAAAACUUUUAUGUUUUGAAAUAUAUAUUUUCUCCUUAAUUUUGUUGUUAUUACUUUGUUUAAUGUGGAAUUGAACAUCUUUCAUGAUUUUUGAUUUGUUUGACUGGAAUGACAGAUUAAAGAGUCCUUAUAAUUAUAACUCUUUGAAGAAUGAAUUAAAACAUUCGUGAAGCAGAUUUCUUCAUUAGAAGCCUUUUUUGUUCUCUUUCUUUUUUUAAAAAUCAACACUAAGCUAUUCAAAGUAUUUCUCCUGUCAUCCAAAUCAAACAAACAAAAAAUCAUAAAAGAUGUGCAAUUAACAUUAAAAAGAAAAAAAAAAGCAACAACAGUCAAACUAAUGAAAAAGUACAUAUUUCAACAAAAGACAUGAAAAAGAUUUUCUAAUUGACAACAAUCAAAAAUAACAUCAACGACACUAAUUCUUCGGCUCAUGCAACAUAAGGUUGUUUAUGUUGGUAUGAAUCUUAUCAAAGAAUUUAGUUGUUUUGGACUCGUAAACCAAAAAUUUAGAAUUAAAUUAACAAUUCAAAUUUUUUCUUUGAUAAAAGGAGUCUGAAAGUUCUGGAAUGAAAUACAUUGCUAGUGUGAUAAUAAUAAAAUAACUAUCCAAUAAAUUUAUUCUUUGAACAUUGCCUGAAACUUUAUUAAUGAAUUAGCGAGGAGGAAAGAUAUUCCAUAUGUUUCUUGGGCACAUAUUUAAUAUUUAUGUCCUAUAUAAUCAUCAGGUAUUUCAAAUUAUCCAUUUCAUUAUAAUUAAUGUACUAUUUUCAGCUUUCAUUAUUAAAGGCCGUGUAUAAAAUUUCUUGCACUAACUUUAGAAAUACUUCCUGAUACAUCUAUAAUGAACAGAUCAUUUGCAUUCAUUUAAUUAGCACCUAAUAAUAAUUAUAUCACUAGGUAUAUUUUUAAGAUAAUACUAUACAUCAAUUCAAAUCAUAAUUUGUAAUUAAAUACUACAAUAUACUUACUUCAUUGUCACAACCUUUGUCAACCCAUGAGUUUUUGAUGAAUCAGCUUCAACAAAGUUUUUAGCUAAUCUAACAAUCAUCAAAUGAAUACUACUCUCCUCUUUCAAUUUAUUUUAAUUUGCUUGAUUCAAAAAUUAAUUAAUGUUUGAUGUAAAAUUUAAUUAUAGAAACUCUAAUUGUUUAUCAUGAUAUUUAAUAUCUAAAGAUUCAUUCAGAUUCAAAAGAUAAAAUAGAUUGCUAAGAGCUAAGAGUCGAGUAAAAAAUUAAGUAAAAUUUAUUCUUUUAUAUCUUUAAGAUUUAUUUUUUACCUGGCGACCAUCAAACCACAAAUCGGUCAAUCAUGAAAUUUGAAACCCUUAGAACCAUAGUCUCACAUGAUUGACCAAAUCCUAUGAGACAUAUGAUUUAUAGAAAAUUUAAGAAGGAAUUAACUAGUUGGCAAGAUGUAAAUAAAUAAACAAAUUCAAGUACAAUACUACAAUGAAAUCACAACAUUAAUUUCACAAAUUAUACAAAAUUUUAUAUAUAAAAACGAAUCCUACAUUUUAAAUUUUUGUUUGAAACCUAUAUUGAUUUAAGAACUAAGAUUGAGAAUUUUAAGUUGAAUAGUGAUGCUAGCACCUACAAUUAAAUUCAUUUUCAAUUGAAUUUUGAACGAUAAGAAUAAUAUAAACAAAUUUAAAAUGAAGGAAUAUAUAUAAAUUUAAAUGUCGCAUACCUUUCACAGAAGAACUCUGUGGAAUGGAGAAGAAUGAAAAUGAAUUAUAUCUUCAUAGACUUUAUAGUGAAAAUUAUAUGUCUAGAAAAGAUUACAAUAAUUUUUAUUUAAUUCACUUAAAAUUUUAAAGGCAUAUUCAUUAAUUUCAGUUUUACUCACUUUUUAAUUCUAACUGAAUGAAGUAUAAUAAAGUCAUAGUCAUUAGUUUCUAUUUGACUCAUUUAUAAUUCUACUAAUUGAGUAAUCACUCUGUUACUAAAUAUUUUUCACUAUUUUGAUUUGUACUUUUUAAGAAAAAAAUUUAAUUACAGUCUAAAUUGAUUAAAUUAUUCUUAUUAAUUAAUUUUUUCUAUUUAGUACUUCUCUUUUUUUUUUGUACUAUAUUGAAUAUCUCUUUAUAUUUAUGAUUAAUGGUAAAGACAAAAAGAUUAUGUCUUAAUUUUUUUAAAUAAAACAUAUUAUGUAAUAUCUAUUUUUAAUAAGGACGAUAACUAUUUAGGAAUGAAGAGUAAUAAUGUACAAUAAAGUCAUAAUCAUUAAUAAAUGUGUUACAUUUAAAUAACAUAAGAGAAUCUAAUCGUACGAACAAUAAAAGUUACCCAAAAAAAAAAGUAUAAACAACCAAAAGCCUUUGUAUUGAUAAUAUGGUAAAUUUAUUAUAAUCAUACUUGAUAUGACCAAAUAUUUGGAUAUUAUAAUGUAAACAUACUUAGACAACUCUUAGAUUAAUAGAGCAUUUUAUUUGGAUAUCUAUGAUGUAAGAAAUAAAUGUAAUUAUUACAAUUUAAAGUUUGACGGAAAGAUUUAAAACUUGACCAAGUUUCUUUAUAAAUAUUUAUUUGAAAUUUAUAUUUAAUUAAUGGUGUCACAAAUAUGACUUAAAUUCAAGAAUGUGAUAAUUAAUUAAGCUUAAUUAUUUUUAUAUAUGUAAGAUCAAAUACUUUGGUGGUGGUAACUCAAACUGAUAUGAUUCUACAACUAAGAGCCCUGAUUGAAUGACUUGUGAUUUCAUGGUCAACUUUCUAAACUCAACGAAUUAUUUUUAUUCACUCGAAUUUCUUUCGUUUCAACAAUUUUGUUCGAAUCCUGCCCUUCUUUCGAUCAAGAAAUGACUGUCAAAAUUAAAUAACAUAUUUUAAUUAUUUAUAAAUUAAAGCUAAGGCUCCUCAUUUAGUUUAAACACUCAAAACUCAAAUGUAGAUCAUUUUCGUUCACUUAGUUAGUACAUAGUAAUUGUAUAAUCACUAGUUGUAUUUCUUAACAUAAGGUUACAUUUAUUAAACAAGAGCUUAAAUCAUAAUAUAUUUAAGUUUCCAAUACUUACUUAGAAUUUUACAAUAAAAAUAAAGCCUAGCUAGAUUUAUUUAAAGAUUAGUGUUAAUGAAUUUACUUUAAACGGUAUUAUUAGCACCCACAAGUGAAUUCAUUUUCACGUGUAUUUUACUGACAUUAUAAAAGUCAUAAAGAUUUAUCAAAUUAGGUGACUCAGAGAGAGAAAAAAUACUACAAACACACACAAGGGAGAGAGAAAGAGGAAAUUUAAAUGAAAAUGUAUACCUUUCACCAAAAAAAAAAAAGUUUAUGAAAAAGAGAAAAGUGAAAUGGAUGACUAUUUUCUUAAGUUUUAUAAUGAAUAUUAUCUAUCUACUUAGGAUUACAUCGAUUUUAAUUAGAUUCACUCAUAAUUUUUAAUAAUAUAUUGCUAAUGAGAAGAGAAAUAUAAGAAAAGUCUACUUUGUCCUUAAUAAAUAUCUUAAAUUAAAAAUAUAAGAAGACGUUAUCAAAAUAACAAAAAGACUUGCAUAAUAAAUACAAUAAAUUAAUUGUAAUCUUGCAAAGUUAUAGCGUUAUGAUGCGAAUAUGCUAAAGCAAAAUUCAAUUAACCGAAUAUUUAAUUUAAUAUCUUUCAUGUAAGAAAUAUAUAGAUUUAAUUAUUGAAAUUGAAGUGUGAUGAAAAAUAUGAAAGUUGACAAAGAUUAUUUAUAUGUAUUUAUUUAAUUGUAUAUUAGAUUUGUAAUGCCACAAUUUAUGAAAUAAAAUUUAAACAUAAUCUUUUUAUUAGUUGUGUAAUAUAGCUUUAAAAGAUGUAAGAAAGACAUGAAAUCAUUGUAAUUAAAAUUUGUCGAAGUUCACAAUUUAUUUGGGGGGGGAUGAGGUGCCUUAUUGUUUGCUUUUUACGGACGAUGUAGUCCUAAUUGAUGAGACUAGUAGUGGAGCUAAUGCAAAGUUGGAGGUUUGGAGGCAAACCCGUGAAGUAGAUCCAAGACAAAACAUUUGAAGUAUAAGUUCAGCGAGGUGUCUUAUGAGUCCGAUGUGAUUGUUAAGCUUGAUACUCAUUCUAUCAGUAAAAGAGAUAGUUUCAAGUAUCUGGAGUCGAUGAUUCAGGAGAAUGGAGAGAUUGACAAUGAUGUCACUUAUCAAAUCAGGGUAGGGUGGAUGAAAUGAAGGCUCGCCUCCGGUAUCUUGUGUGACAAAAAGGUAUCUCCCAAACUUAAAGGCAAGUUCUACAAAGUAGUGGUUAUACCAGUUUUGCUUUAUGGGGUGGAGUGUUGGCCUGUUAAGAAGACCCACAUUCAGAAAAUGAAGGUGGUGGAGAUGAGAAUGCAAUUCAGAAGAUGAAGGUGGUGGAGAUGAGAAUGUUUUGGUGGAUGUGUGGGUCUACUAGAAAAGAUAGGAUCAGAAAUGAGGUUAUUCGAGAUAAGGUGAGAGUCGCUUCGGUAGAAGCCAACGUGAGGGAAGCAAGGUUGAAAUGUUGUUUCGAAAAAGGAUUAUUAACAUUUUUUAUUCAGAGUUGCUACUUGACAAAUCCGGUGUGCCAAGUCACCUUUGAAAGAUCCUUUUUAAAACGAUUUGACUCUUUAAACUGAUUUGCGAACAUAAAUUUCGGCUAAGGAAUUCUGUUGACCGAGGGAAAGGUGUUAGGCACCCCUCGGUCCCGUGGUUUGACCACGGUCUCUUGGUGGAGCAUAUCGACUAAUUUGACACUACGAAUGUAUAAACCACACAAAAUCACACAAAACAAUCUAUCAAAUAAACAAAACGAAACAAAUCCAAAAUAUAGUGUCCAAUCCAAUUAUACAGUCCAAAAUAACAAAAUUGUGAAAAAUAUAAAUCCUAUUCUAACCUAUACUAAUCCUAAACUGUGUUUCCAUGCUCUACCCGAUGCCUCGGACCUUGAUCACGAACAUCCGCCGAGUACAAAAUACUUCGGGGCAUUUCCCGGCGAAUAAACACAAAUACUCCGGGGCAUUCCCCAGCCAAAUGAUACACUUGAUCCGAAAAAAACAACAACCAAACCAAUCCAUUCAACACAUAUUUCAAGCAUUCAAUAUUCCAAGAGUCCUAAAUUUGCCUACCCGACCUACUUUGCCAAUCAAUUCUCGGUCUAAACAUUGUAUUAUCAAAGUUAUCCAAAAUCGAUAUCUAUUUCAAAUUAAGCAAUCAACAAUCAUGAAUCAAAAUGCAACAAUAUUUACUUUAUCAAUUUUUCGAUCUCUUUCCCCAAAAUCCAACUUAACCCCAAAUCGAACUACGUGAUUAACAUACUUCGCAACAAGAUGGACGAUUAAAUAAUGAGUGAAAUUGCUCCAAUCAGAAUCAACCAAAAUCACACUAUUCAAAAAAAAAUGACAAAAAAUAGGAACAAAAGAUGAAGAAUCGACCUCAACUGAUGACUUUAUUUCGACAACUUGCGAUGGAUCGGAGAUCACGAACGGGACCUCAUCGAAACCUCAAAUUGAAAUGGAGCAGGAUGGAAAGCAGUCGAAUCUGCCAGUUUUCCCUCAUUCAAACCACUCAUUGUUCUCGACCUUUUCGUCGAUUUCAGCUCUUCCGGCCAGCACUCUCUCUCGAUUCGUUUUCUUCCUCACGCAGAUCUCUCUCUACCUCUCUCGAAUCUCUCCUCUCUCUUGGUUGCUCUCCACGUUUCUCUCUCUCCCCUCAAUUUCUGUGUGUAUGUGUGUGUGCGAUUUAGGGUGUGUCUGUGCGUGUGUUGCGGAAAGAAGAAAAGAAGAGAGCCAAAAUGGCGUCUCUCUGAAGAUGAUGAUAAUAUCUCCCCUCCCCUAUCUAUCCUUUUCUGUCCCUUAUAUAUGUACAGCUGGGUGUGUAUAUGUAUGGUGAGGUAUGAAUGAAUUCAACCCAAAAAAUGGACUAGAGUGUGUGCCUUCGUGAAUUGUGAGUGUGAUCCAUUAGAAAAGGAAAAAGGAAGAUCUUGUGUAUGUAUGUAUUUGGUGUCAACCAAAUCCCUGUGGGCCCCCUCUUUUAUUUCUUUUGUUGUGUUUUGGUUAAAAGCAAUAAAAAAAAAAACGUAAGGGGGGUGGCUAGGGGGUGAGGUUGGGUAGGGAUAGUGAGGUGGU